ensembl:snRNA U6 U6 spliceosomal RNA
GUGCUCAUUUCAGCAGCACAUAUACUAAAACUGGAAUGUUACAGAGAAGAUCAGCAUGACUCCUGCACAAGGAUCACAUGCAAAUUUGUGAAGUGUUCCAUAUUUUA